CUGCUGUAGCCUCUGCCACCUGCCACGACCGGGCCUCUCCCUGGCGUUUGGUCACCUCUGCUUCAUUCUCCACCGCGCCUAUGGUCCCUCUUGGGGCCAGCGUGGCGGGCCUGGCGGCUCCCGGGUGGUGAGAGCGGUCCGGGAACGAUGAAGGCCUCGCAGUGCUGCUGCUGUCUCAGCCACCUCUUGGCUUCCGUCCUCCUCCUGCUGUUGCUGCCUGAACUAAGCGGGCCCCUGGCAGUCCUGCUGCAGGCAGCCGAGGCCGCGCCAGGUCUUGGGCCUCCUGACCCUAGACCACGGACAUUACCGCCGCUGCCACCGGGCCCUACCCCUGCCCAGCAGCCGGGCCGUGGUCUGGCUGAAGCUGCGGGGCCGCGGGGCUCCGAGGGAGGCAAUGGCAGCAACCCUGUGGCCGGGCUUGAGGCGGACGAUCACGGAGGGAAGGCCGGGGAAGGCUCGGUGGGUGGCGGCCUUGCUGUGAGCCCCAACCCUGGCGACAAGCCCAUGACCCAGCGGGCCCUGACCGUGUUGAUGGUGGUGAGCGGCGCGGUGCUGGUGUACUUCGUGGUCAGGACGGUCAGAUAAGAAUGUGCCUUUUGAUGAAAGAACUUUAUCUUUCUACAAUGAAG
rnacentral:sRNA from 1 species